rnacentral:rRNA from 1 species
CACGUAGGCACCAAGCGUUGUCCGGAAUUAUUGGGCGUAAAGAGCUCGUAGGCGGUCUGUUACGUCCGCUGUGAAAACCCAGGGCUUAACCCUGGGCUUGCAGUGGAUACGGGCAGACUAGAGGUAGGUAGGGGAGAAUGGAAUUCCCGGUGUAGCGGUGAAAUGCGCAGAUAUCGGGAGGAACACCGGUGGCGAAGGCGGUUCUCUGGGCCUUACCUGACGCUGAGGAGCGAAAGCGUGGGGAGCGAACAGG